rnacentral:rRNA from 1 species
AUGUCAGCCGCCGCGGUAAUACGGAGGGUGCAAGCGUUAUUCGGAAUUACUGGGCGUAAAGGGUGCGUAGGCGGCCCUUUAAGUCGGAUGUGAAAGCCCGCGGCUUAACCGCGGAAUGGCAUUCGAAACUGGAGGGCUUGAGUGUCGGAGAGGGUAGUGGAAUUCCCAGUGUAGCGGUGAAAUGCGUAGAUAUUGGGAGGAACACCAGUGGCGAAGGCGACUACCUGGACGAUAACUGACGCUGAGGCACGAAAGCUAGGGGAGCAAACAGGAUUAGAUACCCUGGUAGUCCUAGCCGUAAACGAUGGGUACUAGGUGUAGGUGGUUUCGAUACCAUCUGUGCCGCAGUUAACGCAAUAAGUACCCCGCCUGGGGAGUACGUGCGCAAGCAUGAAACUCAAAGGAAUUGACGG